GCCAACGGCCGAAGUGAAUAUCAGUUUUUCAAAAGUCAAUAAAACCACAUAUUUACCGAAACAAAAGACAGUAAUUGUUUUAUUCCAUAUUCCGAGAGAAAUGUAUGUAAUGGCAGUUAUUAACCAAAACCAAUUGUACAUCAAUCGUUUUUUUUUACCAAAAUAGUGCAGGUAAAAGCACGCGACGUUAUGCGCGGUGAAUAUCCUUUUCCGCAGGUGAAUAUGCUUAUUUAUUCAAAAU
rnacentral:lncRNA from 1 species